GUGAAAUAUCUCUUGGAGUGCUUUGAAAAAAUGUUCAGACAUGGACAUUCUUCUCUUAAACGACAAUUAGUCAUCAAAUGAGAUUGAGAAACAACGAACAAAUGUUGGUGUAUUUACCAUGAUCGUAGACUUCACAAUUAAAGAAAGUGGUUAUUGUUCACAGCGGUUGAAGAGAAUUGUGGCUGUUGUCGACCAGUUCCUCGACGCUCAUCUAAACAUAAGAACAAAAUACAAUUCUGUAAUUUGGUUGAAAUUCUUCUUCCCUUGAACUACAUUACUAGUGAAUAAAAUGUUCAAUAAACCUUCUGAUCAAGAAUGGACAAUAUACGUACUUUAAUGAAAUCCUCUGAACAAUGAUCAAGAAUGAAC